UGGGAGGAUUGACAGAUUGAGAGCUCUUUCUUGAUUCUGUGGAUGGGGGUGCAUGUCCGUUCUUAGUUGGUGGAGCGAUUUGUCUGGUUAAUUCCGAUAACGAACGAGACUCUAGCCUAUUAAAUAGGUGCGUGGUUCUCUGCACCUUGCACCCUUCUUAGAGGGACAAGCGGCUCCUAGCCGCACGAAACAGAGCAAUAACAGGUCUGUGAUGCCCUUAGAUGUCCGGGGCCGCACGCGCGCUACACUGAAGGAAGCAGCGUGUUUUUAUCCCUGUCUGUUAAAACAGUAAGCUUAGAAAAAAAUGGCUUGAGCAAAUACAGAGGGCUAAUUGAAGUCCAUCGGAUUACCCCCGAGCA
rnacentral:ncRNA from 1 species